UGGCCCGAUGCGCCCGGAACGUCGGCCACGUCUUCCGCGUCCCGCAGCAUCACCUCGUAGUACUCCUGGAUGUCUGAGCGUCGGCCAAGUCGGCGGGCCCCAGCGCGACCGGCGGGCAGAAGACAAAGGCGGAGGUGCGUGACGUCAUUUAUGGACGGCCCCUUACUCGUCUUCGAGAGUCUCCAUCGAUCCGCUGCGCCCUAUCGCGCCGGCUUCAAAAGACCCAAAUCGACUCCGACUAUGACGGUCUGCUCGAGGUGACCCCUGCUGCUGUACCUGCCACGUGUGUGAACCUCGCAGUGUCGGGGGUCUCCGGCCCAGAGACGCGGGAACACCUGCUACCAAGCUCACGUUCGGGCACCAUCCCUGAGUCUCAGCCAGUUCCGUAACACACUCAAAACGUUGAACAAGUAGGGGGCUUUCGCGACCAAUAUCGUCCAUAAUAGAGAGGGGUUUGUUGGGGGAUAGAUCGCGUAAAAAUAUAAAUGUUGUGUCGUUAAAACCCGCCACCACCCGACACAGCCAACUUGUAAGGGUUGUCGCGUAAACAGAACGUGGGAGAGUCGUGGGUGUCACGUGCGUGAGUCGUGGGUGUCACGUGCGAGAGACGUGGGUGUCACGUUGGUGAGACGUGGGCGAGUGGGCGCACCGCUCUGAACGAUCGCGUCACUGAUGGUUGCUUUCGCCACGCACACAGCCCUCUCUGCCACGCGGUGGACCGACAGACGGACAAAUAGGCAGACGCCACCGCCAGCACUCUCCAAACACACCAAGGCCAUUAGGGGGAUGGUGGCCUGAACGGAGAGCCAGAAUAAACACGGCGCGCGCGUGUACAGCGGCAGAGCGGUACGGAACUUCGCGACGAAUCCUCGUGGGCGUAUGAGACUUCCUAUUAUUAUGUAAAACAUCGUGAGACAAACCGAGCACCUCACCCCCACACACGCCCUCGAUUGAGCUGUGUGUGUGCGUGCAUUGCUGGUGCAAAGCCCGCAACGUGCAAUGGACGCAUCACAAAAGAGGUUGUAGGCACGUGACAAAUGUCCCGUUUUGACAUUUAAACCCCGAACCACCAUAAAAAACACCCCCCCCC